rnacentral:rRNA from 1 species
ACCGAAUAGAUACCCCGGUAGUCCACGCCCUAAACUAUGCGAACUGGAUGUUGGGUACAUUACGGUACUCAGUGUCGAAAGCUAAACGCGUUAAGUUCGCCGCCUGGGGAGUACGGUCGCAAGACUGAAACUCAAAGGAAUUGACGGGGGCCCGCACAAGCGGUGGAGUAUGUGGUUUAAUUCGAUGCAACGCGAAGAACCUUACCUGGCCUUGACAUCUGUCGAAUCCUGCAGAGAUGCGGGAGUGCCGCAAGGAACGACAAGACAGGUGCUGCAUGGCUGUCGUCAGCUCGUGUCGUGAGAUGUUGGGUUAAGUCCCGCAACGAGCGCAACCCUUGUCCCUAGUUGCCAGCACG